rnacentral:rRNA from 1 species
CUUAGCGGCGGACGGGUGAGUAACGCGUGGGUAACCUGCCUCAUACAGGGGGAUAACAGUUAGAAAUGACUGCUAAUACCGCAUAAGCGCACAGGACCGCAUGGUCCGGUGUGAAAAACUCCGGUGGUAUGAGAUGGACCCGCGUCUGAUUAGCUGGUUGGCGGGGUAACGGCCCACCAAGGCAACGAUCAGUAGCCGACCUGAGAGGGUGACCGGCCACAUUGGGACUGAGACACGGCCCAAACUCCUACGGGAGGCAGCAG